UAAAAACACAAAAAUUAGUAUUUAAAAAAAAGUAAAUAUGCCCUCGAAUUCAUCACAGAUUGAAGCCCAGAAACACGUAAUUUGUAUGCAUACUUCAACGCGUCGUUUAGUCGUCGAUGCCAUUGUAGAGUAGGCUAUAGUAUUGUGGCCGAUGCUCUCGGGUCGGGCACGAAACUUCCGCUUUACCUCCCCAUUGGACCAGCUGUGCCGUGCAUCAUUGAUUGUAUGUGCAAUAAACCUAACGAAAGGUGUGUAUAUAGUGUAUUCUGGCUUUUGCAUUUGGGGUCUUGUUGUCUCAAUAUGAGGGCCAAGGAAGUGUCAAUGGCAGUAAAGCAAACCAUCAUUAAGCUGAAAAAUGAGAAAAAAUCAAUCAGAGACAUCGCCGAAACAGUGGGUGUGUCAAAAUCAACUGUUUGGCACAUUGUUAAGAAGCAAGAACGAACUGGUGAGCUCAGCAAUGGCAAACGAUCUGGUAGGCCACGGAAGACCACUGUGGUGGAUGACGAAAAAAUACUUUCAAUUGUUAAGAAAAAGCCCUUUUCAACUGCUGAACAGAUCAAGAACACACUUCAGAAUGUAGGGGUAGAUGUGUCAACGACUACUAUAAAGAGAAGACUGCACCAGCAUAACUUCAGAUGGUUCACCACAAGAUGCAAACCACUGGAUAACAUGACCUCCCACCCUCCGGAUCAAAGUGGGAUGUCACUGCUCCAGGAGCAAGUUAGAAGAGAGAUUUUUCAGAGGAUGCAAUCAAGGUUCAGCUCUGUCACUGACAGUGAAACAAUGGAUUUGGAGGAGCUACUAAACAUUGCUCGACAAGAGCUCGCUCUAGCUACAGCGACAUCAAGUCAUGUUAAUAUCCCAGAGGAACUGGUCUGCAGUCUACAGGAGCUAAUCUGCAGACUUGACCAGUCCAUGCAGUCUGCUGCAGAAGCACCAGCUAAUCCCUCAGAUACUGAAACCGUUACUUUGAACGAUUCCCCUUCCUCUAAAUGAAUGUUCUUCACCCCAUCCCGUUUAACACAGACUAUGUUGAUUUGGCAACAUUCUACAAUGAGGAUUACCAUUCAUGUCGUGUGCUUGUACUUGUAAAUAUAUAAAUAAUUUGCAGAGAAAACAUUAAUUGUAUUUGUUAAUAUGGUGCCUUUUUCAUUAUUAUUCAUGGGAAUGGUUUGGUUUUUUCAAUUUUCUUUUUCCAAGUGGCCAAUCAAAGUGCUGCCUACCAGAGGUGGGACUGUAUAAAUGGAUGACUGUUGCAAUGUCCUGAUACUGAACAUUGAUGGGUGAAACAUCUGUCCAAUAAAUCAGACUUCUCUCAAA